GGGGGAAUAUUGCACAAUGGGGCGCAAGCCUGAUGCAGCCAUGCCGCGUGUAUGAAGAAGGCCUUCGGGUUGUAAAGUACUUUCAGCAGGGGAGGAAGGCGAUAAGGUUAAUAACCUUGUCGAUUGACGUUACCCGCAGAAGAAGCACCGGCUAACUCCGUGCCAGCAGCCGCGGUAAUACGGAGGGUGCAAGCGUUAAUCGGAAUUACUGGGCGUAAAGCGCACGCAGGCGGUCUGUCAAGUCGGAUGUGAAAUCCCCGGGCUCAACCUGGGAACUGCAUUCGAAACUGGCAGGCUGGAGUCUUGUAGAGGGGGGUAGAAUUCCAGGUGUAGCGGUGAAAUGCGUAGAGAUCUGGAGGAAUACCGGUGGCGAAGGCGGCCCCCUGGACAAAGACUGACGCUCAGGUGCGAAAGCGUGGGGGAGCAAACA
rnacentral:rRNA from 1 species